rnacentral:rRNA from 1 species
AGUGAACGCUGGCGGUAGGCCUAACACAUGCAAGUCGAACGGCAGCACAGGAGAGCUUGCUCUCUGGGUGGCGAGUGGCGGACGGGUGAGGAAUACAUCGGAAUCUGCCCAGUCGUGGGGGAUAACGUAGGGAAACUUACGCUAAUACCGCAUACGGCCUUCGGGUGAAAGAGGGGGAUCGCAAGACCUCUCGCGAUUGGAUGAGCCGAUGUCGGAUUAGCUAGUUGGCGGGGUAAUGGCCCACCAAGGCGACGAUCCGUAUCUGGUCUGAGAGGAUGAUCAGCCACACUGGAACUGAGACACGGUCCAGACUCCUACGGGAGGCAGCAGUGGGGAAUAUUGGACAAUGGGCGCAAGCCUGAUCCAGCCAUACCGCGUGGGUGAAGAAGGCCUUCGGGUUGUAAAGCCCUUUUGUUGGGAAAGAAAUCUUUCAGGCUAAUACCCUGGGAGGAUGACGGUACCCAAAGAAUAAGCACCGGCUAACUUCGUG